CAGCAGCCGCGGUAAUACGAAGGGGGCUAGCGUUGCUCGGAAUGACUGGGCGUAAAGGGCGCGUAGGCGGCUGACACAGUCAGAUGUGAAAUUCCUGGGCUCAACCUGGGGACUGCAUUUGAGACGUGUUGGCUUGAGUGGAGAAGAGGGUCGUGAAAUUUCCAGUGUAGAGGUGAAAUUCGUAGAUAUUGGAAAGAACACCGGUGGCGAAGGCGGCGACCUGGUCUUUAACUGACGCUGAGGCGCGAAAGCGUGGGGAGCAAACAGGAUUAGAUACCCCUGUAGUCCCUGUCUCUUAUAC
rnacentral:rRNA from 1 species